GGGAAUAGUUCAGUGGUAGAGCGCAACCUUGCCAAGGUUGAAGUCGCGAGUUCGAAUCUCGUUUCCCGCUCCAAAUUUUAUGUUUAUGUUGUAAUGUGGGUGCAUAGCUCAGCUGGAUAGAGCAACGCCCUUCUAAGGCGUGUGUCCGGGGUUCGAAUCCCUGUGCGCUCACCACAUAUAUAUUGGGGAUUAGCCAAGUCGGUAAGGCACAUGACUUUGACUCAUGUAUGCGUAGGUUCGAGUCCUGCAUCCCCAGCCAAACAGUAUGGUCUAUUAGCUCAGUCGGUAGAGCACCUGACUUUUAAUCAGGGUGUCCCGCGUUCGAGUCGCGGAUAGAUCACCAAUGGAGAGGUGUCCGAGUGGUUUAAGGAGCUGGUCUUGAAAACCAGUGACUUCGAAAGGGGCCGUGGGUUCGAAUCCCACCCUCUCCGCCAAAUGCCCAGAUAGCUCAGUCGGUAGAGCAGGGGACUGAAAAUCCCCGUGUCGGUGGUUCGAUUCCGCCUCUGGGCACCAAAAUAUGGCGGUAUAGCUUAGUUGGCUAGAGCGUUCGGUUCAUACCCGAAAGGUCAUAGGUUCGACUCCUAUUACCGCUACUAAAAUUUAAUGUGGGCCAUUAGCUCAGUUGGUUAGAGCGCCCGGCUCAUAACCGGUAGGUCUGGGGUUCGAGUCCCUGAUGGCCCACCACAUUAAAUUAAUUAAUAUAAAUUCGAGGUGUAGCGCAGUUUGGUAGCGCACAUGGUUUGGGACCAUGGGGCCGGGGGUUCGAGUCCCUUCACCUCGACCAAUAUAAGGUGGGUAUAGCUCAGUUGGUUAGAGCGCCAGAUUGUGGCUCUGGAGGUCGUGAGUUCGACUCUCAUUAUCCACCCCAAUUCAUAUGGUCUAUUAGCUCAGUCGGUAGAGCACCUGACUUUUAAUCAGGGUGUCCCGCGUUCGAGUCGCGGAUAGAUCACCAAAAAGGUGGCGACAUAGCCAAGUGGUAAGGCAGUGGACUGCAACUCCUUGAUCCCCAGUUCGAAUCUGGGUGUCGCCUCCAAAAUAUUCCAAGGUAGCUCAACGGUGGAGCAACCGGCUGUUAACCGGUAGGCUGUGGGUUCGAGCCCCACCCUUGGAGCCAAAAAAGCCGAAGUGGCGGAACUGGCAGACGNAGUUUUGGCGGAGCCAUCCUUGGGAUACCACCCUUGUAGUACUGGGACUCUAACCAUAGGCCAUGAAUCUGGUCUUGGGACACUGUCAGGUGGGCAGUUUGACUGGGGCGGUCGCCUCCCAAAAGGUAACGGAGGCGCUCAAAGGUUCUCUCAGUACGGUCGGAAAUCGUACGUAGAGUGUAAAGGCAAAAGAGAGCUUGAUUGCAAGACAUACAGGUCGAGCAAGGAUGAAAAUCGGACUUAGUGAUCCGGUGGUUCUGCGUGGAAGGGCCAUCGCUCAACGGAUAAAAGCUACCCUGGGGAUAACAGGCUUAUCUCCCCCAAGAGUCCACAUCGACGGGGAGGUUUGGCACCUCGAUGUCGGCUCAUCACAUCCUGGGGCUGUAGUAGGUCCCAAGGGUUGGGCUGUUCGCCCAUUAAAGUGGUACGCGAGCUGGGUUCAGAACGUCGUGAGACAGUUCGGUCCCUAUCCGUCGCAGGCGUAGGAAAUUUGAGAAGACCUGUCCUUAGUACGAGAGGACCGGGAUGGACGUACCUCUGGUGUACCAGUUGUCCUGCCAAGGGCAUGGCUGGGUAGCUAUGUACGGAAUGGAUAAGCGCUGAAAGCAUCUAAGCGCGAAGCCAACUUCAAGAUAAGAUUUCCCACCGCAAGGGUAAGACCCCAGAAAGACUAUCUGGUUGAUAGGUCGAAGGUGUAAGUGCAGCAAUGUAUUUAGCUUAUCGAUACUAAUAGGUCGAGGACUUGACC
rnacentral:rRNA from 1 species